rnacentral:lncRNA from 1 species
ACACACUUGGAUAUAUUGAAUAAUUUGUCUUGGCCCUGUCCUCUUUGUAGCCUGGACACUCCUGUCACUAAUGGAUGUGGAUUGGUAUUCAGAUGGGCUGGCAUUAGGCUUUUCUCUUUUCCUCAAUCCCUGAUUUCUCUUUCGAUCUGCUGGGGGUCCACAUUGGCCUUGGGCCUUGAUUAGCCACAUGAUCCUUUUUUUUUUCCCAUCUGAGUUCUUUAUUGUAUUCUCGCCAGUGUACAAAACAAAAUCAAAGAAAAUUCAGAGAGGUGGAUGAGAUAGUCUGACAGGAGUUGAAAUUUGGAUGACUAAAUUGGCACAUUGUUACACAUAGAUUAACUUUUUGUGCCGGCUUCGGAAUUCUGCCCUUUAAAUAGUCACAAUUCACAUCACAGAUCCAAAUCUGAAGACUGGAUACAGAAAUCCUUUCCAUGUAGCUUCAGAGCAUCUUGCUACAGGAGUGAACAGACCUUUAGGGGACCGAAAGGAUAAGAUAUCCCAGUCCGCAGGGGAUCUUUUUGGGCAUUUUGCAGGCAAAACUAUUUCAGAUCAGCAGCAGCUUGAGAAACCUUCACACAGUGGAGCCCAGCCGCAAGCCGGAGCUGCUGUACCACUUUCCUUAGGGUGACGACGUUGGAGCUGGUGGACAUGGCGCAAGGAGCCCUGGUCUGGGGAUGAAGUACCUCCUACUUUCUCACCAUAAAGUGCAAGGGAACAAAACUUCUCUAAACAUGUAUAGUCAAGCCAAACAAAUCCCUAUAUUAGUCCUAUCCAAAGAAAAAAAUUUCAGUCUACAUCCCGAGUUCGAAAUCUUAUCUAUCAAGAGACCCAAGUCCCAUCUAACCUUCAAGAUUCAGUUCAAAUGCUACUUCCUUGGUCAACAUUUUCUUGAUAUACACCAUUUGAGGUGAAUUGACCUUUUUACACCUGGGACAAGACCCACCUAUCACAUCAGGGCAAGCUGCAUGAAAGGUGCCUUUUUUUGGGAUUGGACCCCCUUUUUUUGUGAAACUGCCCAUGUGGAAAAAGAGGGCUCUUAGUAGCUUCCUUUUGAAACUGAUAAGGAGUAAUUUUUUUCUUCACACUUGGCUUAAAAGAGCCUGGUUUGGUAAUUUGGGAGUGGAAUGGGAAGGGAAUAGAAGGGAGUGAGCUUUUAUAUAACACCUACUAGGUGUCUGGCCCUGUGCUAAGUGAUUUUUACAAACAUGAUCUCAUUUGAUUCUCACAACAUCCUUGCACGGUAGAUGCUAUUAUUAUCCCCAUUUUACUGUGGGGUGAACUGAGGCAAAUGGAGGUUAAUGAUUUACCCACAAUCACACAACUAGUAAGUGUCUGAGGCCAGAUCUGGACUUUGACUGUCCUGACUCUGGGUCCAGCACUCUGUGUGAAUAGUCUGGGGUGGGGAGAGGAGGUAGUUCAGAAAGAAGGUUUGAAGCUGUCCAGCUUCUUCCUUCCUUCCCUUCUUCCCCUAACCCCAAAUGUCAUGUCAAAACUUAAAGGAACUAAAUAAACUCCUUGGUUUUUUUUUAAACCCUUACCU